CACAGAUCCACAGCAGAUUCGUGAUCUCAGCCAGGAUCGUAUUGUACCUGGAAGGACAAUAGAGUUCAGGAGACUGAAACCACGGAGACAAACGAGUUAGGGGAGUGUGGAGAAGGUCCCCUGAAAAAAGAAGAAGCUACCCCAGCCACCUCUCACAUUGACAGCUGGAGGAAAUCUUUGUGGUCUGCCAGGUACCGGGCUGGAUCCAUCUUCGCGGACACAAGACCCACCGACAUAAAUCAGUCUUGGCAUCCAAGUGGCCUUUGGAGAUCAAAGUUCCAAUAUCCAAAUGAGCAUCUGAGCAUCUGCCAGUGGGGGAAUAAAAUGCAAUCCGGAUGUUGACAGCCAUUAACAAGGAAGACUAAAAUUUUCCUUUCAAGAAUAAAGAUGAACUUUGAAGAGCA